UACGCAGGGUGCAAGCGUUACUCGGAAUUACUGGGCGUAAAGCGUGCGUAGGUGGUUUGUUAAGUCUGUUGUGAAAGCCCCGGGCUCAACCUGGGAAUGGCAAUGGAUACUGGCAAGCUAGAGUGCGGUAGAGGGUAGUGGAAUUCCCGGUGUAGAGGUGAAAUUCGUAGAUAUUGGGAAGAACACCGGUGGCGAAGGCGGCUAUCUGGACCGACAUUGACGCUGAGGCGCGAAAGCGUGGGGAGCAAACAGG
rnacentral:rRNA from 1 species